AGCUUAACUUGGGAAUUGCGUUUGGAACUGGGAGUCUAGAGUCUGUCAGAGGGGGGAUGGAAUUCCACGUGUAGCAGUGAAAUGCGUAGAGAUGUGGAGGAACACCGAUGGCGAAGGCAGUCCCCUGGGAUAAGACUGACGCUCAUGCACGAAAGCGUGGGGAGCAAAACAGGAUUAGAUACCCUGGUAGUCCACGCCCUAAACGAUGUCUACUAGUUGUUGGGGUAGCAAUACCUCAGUGACGCAGCUAACGCGUGAAGUAGACCGCCUGGGGAGUACGGUCGCAAGAUUAAAACUCAAAGGAAUUGACGGGGGCCCGCACAAGCGGUGGAUUAUGUGGAUUAAUUCGAUGCAACGCGAAAAAACCUUACCUGGCCUUGACAUGCCACUAACGAAGCAGAGAUGCAUUAGGUGCCGAAAGGAAAGUGGACACAGGUGCUGCAUGGCUGUCGUCAGCUCGUGUCGUGAGAUGGUUGGGUUAAGUCCC
rnacentral:rRNA from 1 species